GAUGAAGAACGCAGUGAAAUGCGAUAAGUAAUGCGAAUUGCAGAAUUCCGUGAAUCAUCGAAUCUUUGAACGCACAUUGCACCUCUCGGUAUUCCGGGAGGUAUGCCUGUUCGAGCGUCAUUUGUACCCUCAAGCUCUGCUUGGUGUUGGGUGUUUGUUCCGCCUCUGUGUGUGAACUCGCCUCAAAACAAUUGGCAGCCGGCGUACUUGUUUCGGAGCGCAGCACAUUUUGCGAUCCAGAUCAACGUACAGCGGCAUCCAAGAAGCCUUAUUUAACGCUCUUGACCUCGGAUCAGGUAGGGAUACCCGCUGAACUUAAGCAUAUCAAUAAGCGGAGGA
rnacentral:misc_RNA from 1 species